UGUAUUCUUUCAUUGUUUAUUUUUCAUUGAGAACUGUUCAACAAGCAAUAAAAUGUUAAAAGUUUUUUGUCUUUUAUUUAUUAUUUCAAAUUUUAAUUUUCCAGUUUAUUCACGUAACAUAAUCGAAUAUGUACCAGUUGUUCUUCAUGUAGUUCUUAAUAAUUAUACAAUUCAACCAGGAAAUGAUUUUAUUGUAGAAAAAGAUGAAAAUGGUUUAAUUGAAUGGAAAAGAAAUGUGACGACAGGACCAGAUGGAUUACAAAUAUUUUUUAUUGAUGAAGAGAAUAAGAUAGAACAUAGCACAGAUGAUAUGUGUGAUACAGAACGAAUGUCUUACACCUUUGGAGAAGUAUUAAGGGGAUUAUUGGGAAUUUAUUUUUGUCCAAUUUCGAAGUGGAGACUCUCUCUUAUCGCUUCUGAAUUCUCAAUACCUAAAGAAUCAAGGAAAGAUGUUUGUAGUAAACCAAAAAGUGCUGUUAUGAAAUUGUUUUCUAAAAAAGAACACAAACUGGUUAUGACUUUUCGUAUGGAUUUCUAUGAAUUAAGAGUUCAUGAAUGUAAAAAGUAGAAACGCUAACAAAAAUUGACAGUACAGUUGAAAUACUGGCACGGUACACCAGUACUGCGCCAGUAGUAUACUGUAGGAAAUCAAGAUUUUUUUUUUAUCGAAUAUCUAAAUGCUUGUUAUAUGUGUUUCUUUAUAUUUCCAGUGACCUUGGUUUCUUUUUUUUCCAUUUAAACAUUGUAUUUCCUAGUUAUUAUCAAUAUUUUAUAAAUAAUUAUAGAUAAUAAACUAGUUUUUGUUAUUUAACAAAAUAAAUUAUUUGAUUGAAAAGAAAAAAUUUUUUUUUAUUCCUUCAUCAAUCACUCUUGAGUGAAUAACACAGUUUUCAUAAAAAUAUAUACCAAAAUGUUGAAAAUUUUUUGCAUUUUAUUAGUUAUUUCAAUAAUUUUUGAAGAUCAAUCAGUAUAUUCCCUUAAACCAAAAGACACUAAA